UACGUAGGGGGCAAGCGUUGUCCGGAAUCAUUGGGCGUAAAGAGCGUGUAGGCGGCCAGAUAAGUCCGCUGUGAAAACUCGAGGCUCAACUUCGAGCUGUCGGUGGAAACUAUUUGGCUAGAGUCCGGAAGAGGAGAGUGGAAUUCCUGGUGUAGCGGUGAAAUGCGCAGAUAUCAGGAAGAACACCCGUGGCGAAGGCGGCUCUCUGGAUCGGUACUGACGCUGAGGUGCGAAAGCGUGGGGAGCAAACAGG
rnacentral:rRNA from 1 species